UGACUAACUUCUGCUUGGUGGACCUU
rnacentral:piRNA from 1 species